GUUUUAAUUAAAUAAAAUUCUCUAGUCUCUAAAAUCUUCAUCCUGAGUCAAAAUGAAGAACAAAAUAUUGAGAGUGUUCCUGAUGUUGGCCGUUGCUUCAGUGAUGAUCCUCGUAAUUGCACGUAGAAGGCGUGGUUUGCCAAGAGUGCAACCCUAUUCGUGAAUUUCCUGAAAGCUGCGUGGACUUUGUCAAGGACUGCAAGGAUGAUUUAGCAUCACGGACAAGAUAUAUAUAAUCGGCCAUUAUAAUCAAGAAUCCAAUCAUAUUGUGGAUUGUAUUGAAUAAAUAAAACUCAUAUAUUCA